CAGAGGAGCAGGCGGAGCGGGCGGACAUGGUGGCGGAGGACAGGAGGUGCGGCUGAUUCUCUCAAGCAGCCCUGCCUCUGCGAUUAAACUCCGUCGUUUCACACUUGGCAGGAGGAAAUAUCGGGGAAGCUGGCGGCCUUGUACGGAGCUCUGCUCCUCGCGGAGGACAUGGAGAUCGCGGCGGAGGAAGAGGCGGAGGAGCGCAGGAGGGAGCACUGGAAGCUGCUGUCCAGCCUGAAGACCACAGUGGAGGGUCUCGUGUCAACUAACAACCCCAAUGUGUGGUCCCGCUAUGGCGGCCUGCAGCGGCUCCACAAGGACAUGAACAACAUCCUCAGUCACAGCUUGAAGAAUGAGCAGGUUUAUUACAAGCAGAGAGACUACUGGCCGUUUGUGUGGUGUGUCCGCUACAUCAGCCCUCACCUUGCCUCACACGUUGAACAGUUCAGUAAGCUGGAACCAGUGCUGAGCAGCGGGAUGCAUAGCACUGGUGAAAGCUACAAGGCCGAGCGCUGGCUGCUUCACAGCUUACAGGUUCACAUGCUGUCAGCUCAGCUCCGACCUCUGCUCAGGCAUCUGGGACAUACACGUAAAUAUUAUAAUGAUGCUGCGUUUCUGCUGAGCGAGCCUCACGUGACAGCCAUGUUUCAGUGUCUGGAAGCUGUGGAACAGAACAAUCCCAAACUGCUGGCCCAAGUAGAUACAGUUGGGCUGUCACCUCUGAAGGUCCCACCAUGUCUGGGUCUGUUGAAGAGCCAGAGUCUGUGUGUAUUGCCAGGGGCUGGUGGGGCCUGGAGAAACCAUGACGCAGUGCCUAGAGUAGAAACUCUAAACCGCAGACUUACCACCUCCAACUGCUCUUUGCGCGAAGCAGUCUUUACCAGCCACAAAUCUGGAACCUCUACAGGAGUCCAGUCCCAAAACAUCAACAGCACAAACACUACCUCUCCUGCAAGCAGCGCUGGACCUCCCUGGGUGUGUGUGUCCAGGCCAGGGGAGAGCGAGCGAGGCAUAACACUAAUGGAGUCCCCGACGCCCACCCAUCUCCAACCUGAAGCUGGGGACUCUGGUGAUGGCGACUAUGAUGACGGGCCAGAGUACCUGGCUAUCGGUAACCUGGGGCAACGCAGUCGCCGUGACUCCCAAAGCUCCACCCACAGUAGCGAGCAGGGCGGGACCCUGGAGCAUUCCAUGGAGCGAAGUUCCAAGGCCCCGCCCCCACCUCGGCGCUCGUCUUUUUCGGAGCUCCAGAGGGGGCCUGGCCGCGGGUCCCGAGGACACACCCGUUCGUUCUCAGACACAGGGGUCAAUCAGAAACUCAGGAAUGAAUCACCUGCUGACGACUGCUGCAUGAAGGACUACAGCCCCUUCUCUCCUCAGUGCAGUGAUUCCAGCAAUCCCAGUUCCCUCUACAUGGAGUCUUAUGGGUCCCAGUACAGCAGUGUGCCAGAUGGGAUGUUCAGGAAACCAUCUGAGGGCCAGAGCCUCAUCAGCUACCUGUCAGAGCAGGACUUCGGCAGCUGUGCUGACCUUGAAAAGGAAAACGCUCAUUUCAGCAUUUCAGAGUCCCUUAUUGCAGCAAUCGAGCUGAUGAAGUGCAAUAUGCGGCGUCAGGAGGAGGAGGGGGAGGAGGAGGGGGACAGUGACUGUGAGAUUCAGCAGCUCAAGCAGAAGAUCCGCCUACGCAGGCAACUGAUCCGCCGCAGCCGCCUGCCGCCCUCCACAACCUCCCAGCACAUUUUUCACUCCACUGACAGCGGAGGCUCCAGGAGGAGCUCUCAGGACUCCUACCAGGGCCUGUCAGACUCAGGCUCAGCUGAGGAGGUGGAGGAGUGUGAACUAAGAGAUGGCUGUGAGGGUCAGUCCCUGCUGGCGGUGUCUCAGAACGGUCUCUCCCUGUCACUCGCCUCCCUCUUCUCAGAUGCAGACAUAAAGCGCAGUGUGAGCUCCAGCAGCAGAUCUUUUCUCAGCUCAGAGUCCAUUUCUCCAUCCUUCCUUCAGUCUAACUCUGCUGAGUCAGUAGCCAUGGGUUUGCUCAGGCAAUUUGAGGGCAUGCAGCUUCCUGCUGCCUCGGAGCUGGACUGGCUGGUCCCAGAACACGACGCUCCACAGAAGCUGCUGCCCAUCCCCGACUCUCUCCCAAUCUCACCUGACGAUGGUGAACACGCAGACAUCUACAAGCUGAGGAUUCGAGUCCGAGGCAACCUCGAGUGGGCACCCCCGCGACCGCAGAUCAUCUUCAACAUUCACCCUGCCCACAAGAAGAAGAUAAUGGUGGCUAAACAGAACUACCGCUGCGCUGGCUGUGGCACCCGCAUCGACCCAGACUAUAUUAAGCGACUGCGUUACUGUGAGUACCUCGGCCGCUACUUCUGUCAGUGCUGCCAUGAGAACGCCCAGGCGGUGGUUCCCGGUCGAGUGCUGAGGAGCUGGGACUUCAGCAAGUACUACGUCAGCAACUUUGCCCGUGACCUGCUGAGCAAGAUUGCUGGAGACCCGCUGUUCAAUCCUAACGACAUCAACAGCGGUCUCUACAAGAAGGUUAAACAUCUGGAGGCUAUACGGGUUUUGAGGGUGCAGCUGUUUCACAUGAAAAAUCUCUUCAAGACCUGUCGCUUUGCUAAAGGGGUGCUGGACCAGUUUGACAGCCUGCCAGGUCACCUGACCGAGGACCUUCACCUGUUCUCUCUCAAUGACCUCAGUGCUGUGCGCAACGGAGAACUGGCCCCCCGGAUGAAAGAGCUGAUUAAACUUGGUACCGUGCACGUCGAUGGUUGUGUGCUUUGCCAGGCGAAGGGUUUUGUGUGCGAGUUCUGCGGCAACGACAAAGACAUCAUCUUCCCCUUCCAGCUGAACAAGUGCCAGCGCUGCGAAGAGUGUCGUGCGUGUUACCAUCGAAACUGCUUCCGGGCGGGUAAAGACUGCCCCCGAUGUCUGCGGCUGGCAGAGCGGAGAGAGAGGAUGGCACGCAAAAACAUGGAGGAACAAGAAGACGAGGGAGGAGGGCCCUAGUGCUGGUAACAGAGGGAACUCAGAGGAAGAGCACAACACGACCUUGAUUGUAGUCACCGACCACCUCUCUUUCCGUUCCAGUCCUCUCAGACCUGGGUGACGAUACUCGCUGCAAACAGCUGUUUUGAUCUCAACAGGCUUUAACACAUCAAGUAAUCACUUGUGUCAUAUGAGUUUAAAAGGAACGUGGCCACUGUUGAUUCUCAGAUGAUUGAUUUCUCCAAGCCCUUUUCACACAUGAAGAGUUAACAUCAUCCUGUUGGAACAAAGGUUAUGGCCAUUUUUACACAAAAAUGAAGCAACUGUAAUGAAACAUAAUAAUUCCUUCCAUGGCAUGGCAGUUUUCUGCUCUUCCUUGGGCCAUGUUCCACCUUUCCACAUAAUGUCAUGGCAUUCGGUUCCUUGGAACCUGGAUCUGCACCAAAUUUCACCUGUUCAUAGAUAUCAGGAUUCUACAGAUGGCUGCAUUAUUUCUCGAGCAAUUUGCUGUUGAAGAACACCUUUAUCUUGCAACCGACAAAUCAAUGAAAACAACUAGGAUGGGACUCAGUAGAGACAUUCCUCCACCAAGGCUUAACCUUAGGUUCAGUCAAAAUGCACCAAAUUUCACAUAUUAAAAAUAUCACAAUGUAAAAUAAAAUUCCUGGAUCUGUCCCCUGAUCAGGAUCUGCAUCAAAGUCUGUUGGGUUCUUCCCUGUCCUUUACCAUCCCUUCCUUCUUCCACUCGUGGUAAUUCGUCCUGUAGUUUUUGUCAAACCUUGUUUACAAACAAGCCAACCCACAAUCAGACGGGUGAAAGCAUACCUUAUGCCAUCUUCAGUUCAGAGAAGUUCAAAUUGAUUGGAAUGUCCAAUUUGUGAAAAGGGCCUGAGAUUCACUUCUUCGCGUCUCCUGUGGUAAAAUCAAUAUAUUUUUUCACAUUUAAAAAGAUCGGAAAACAAGUAUUUGUUCAGAGUAUUGAUCCCAGGUUUGAUAUUCAUCUUUCCUUCAACUGCAGCUUCUGGCAGCUGCUUUGACUCGGGUGAUUUUUACUGGCUACUGGCUUAGCUGAAGUUUGUUUUUGUGAAUUAAAAUGACAGAGUUUAUUUGAAUAGAGAAGGAAAUAGCAACUAAUUAAAAGUUAAGAUCUGUUUUAUGAUUUGACAGAUUUUCAGUACAGACACUGUAUUGAAGCUAUCCUGCCCUUUAUACUGAAUUAUUUGUUUUCAUUUUUAAAACGAAUUAAUCUGUACUGUUAUGUUUUAAACUGUUUUAGCUGUGAUUACGUGCCUCUAGGACCAAUGAUCUCAAGUCUGGCUGAGCUGCUGGAUUAAUAGAAGGACUGCACUUCAGGUAGAGGUCUCAGAACACAGAGCAUCACCAAGACAACAUGCUCCCACGUCUGUCUGCAUUAUAACCAGGCUGCUUUUUAAAGGAAACUCCGAACUCUUCGACUAAUCACUCCUGAACAAAGCGACCAAAUGACUCCAAUGGAGCAAAACGAAGCCCGGAGCUCAGCAGAUUGUUUGACCUUGGAUUGCCUUUAACACGGAGGAGGAGUGUGAAGCUUUUAAGUGCACUACAGAUGAAAAUGUCUAUAAUUAUUAUUAAAAAUGUUAAAUAUACUGAUGUCGACAAUAAAAGACUGGCUAGACUGUU